rnacentral:rRNA from 1 species
GAUGAACGCUGGCGGCGUGCCUAAUACAUGCAAGUCGAGCGAACGGACGAGAAGCUUGCUUCUCUGAUGUUAGCGGCGGACGGGUGAGUAACACGUGGAUAACCUACCUAUAAGACUGGGAUAACUUCGGGAAACCGGAGCUAAUACCGGAUAAUCUUUUGAACCGCAUGGUUCAAAAGUGAAAGACGGUCUUGCUGUCACUUAUAGAUGGAUCCGCGCUGCAUUAGCUAGUUGGUAAGGUAACGGCUUACCAAGGCAACGAUGCAUAGCCGACCUGAGAGGGUGAUCGGCCACACUGGAACUGAGACACGGUCCAGACGCCUACGGGAGGCAGCAGUAGGGAAUCUUCCGCAAUGGGCGAAAGCCUGACGGAGCAACGCCGCGUGAGUGAUGAAGGUCUUCGGAUCGUAAAACUCGGUUAUUAGGGAAGAACAUAUGUGUAAGUAACUGUGCACAUCUUGACGGUACCUAAUCAGAAAGCCACGGCUAACUACGUG